AUGGCCCCGAAGAAGUCCAUCACCAAAGAAGAAGCGGAGAGAAUAUACAUGCUAUGUUGGAUCAGCUACGUGCCAGUUUCGGGUGAUAUCCGCAGGAUACCGCCGAGACGGAUUGUUCUAUACCCAGAUAUCUUUCAGACAGUGUGGGGUUGGGAUCGGCUCCUUCCACACGACAUUGAGUGCGAGGAGUUUUAUUUUGAUUACCUCCGCCAGUAUUACGAACGCAAUCGCCUGGACUACGUCGCGGCUGCCGACGGCCAGUCAAAGCCUCAGGACUGGCCGCUCAAAGCCCCACCAGAGGGUGUUCCCAAAUGCAUCCCGAAUGGGAAGCAUCCUCUCGCUGCUGCUGCCAAACACUGCCUGAAGAUGGAGGUGCGGUUCAUGUCAGUGUGGAAGGAUCGACCCAUACACAACGUCAAAGAACUGAGUGAAAAGAUCCAGGAGCGUGUCAGUCGCCUCAUCAUCCUGGGGCGAGAAUUCUCUGAACCUGCGGCCGCCAGCUUGGUGUGUAUCGCUAACGAGGCCUCUCUGGCUCGUGAGCUGCUGAGACGCGGGGCUAAAGCCAACGACAAGGAGAUCAACUUAUGCAACUGCAUCCGCCACUGUGCGCUGAGUCUUAUGUUCAUGUCAGGACCGCAUUCUGAGGCCUCCGCUGCUGCUAUGGUGGGCGUUGCCAAGGAGGCCAGGAAGAUCUGUGAGUGGAUGAAGAGUACGAAAGAGUGUUGUGUUUUUCGAUCUUACUCCAGAAUCCAUGAGUUGUGCCUUUGUGAUGAAAUCCGGGUUGCAACCUUUGAUGUUUUGAAGCACAUACUGUCGAAUUCUACAGGGGGCAAAGAGCCAUUUGUGCUUAUGGAUUUUGCAAUUAAGAGGAACAGGAGAAAGCACCAAAAUACCAUGGAAGGAACUUCAGAUGAAUCUUUAUUACAUGAACCACGUCAUGAAGGGAAGAGCGUCCUUGGCCUGGAUGACAACAAUGGGGAAUUCGAUGCUCGGAUGAUUGCUCCUCAAAUGGAUCUUCUUAGAGAACAGACCAACGGUCUAGCAAAUUCGAGAAGGGAAAGUGAUAAUUCUGCAGUUGAAAGAGCCCAUCACCUGAAACCAAUUCUUGGUAUCCGAGAACACCUGUCAGAAAAAGAAAACCAGGUUCUUGCACCAGAGGAGCAGGAACAAUGUUAUGAAGGGAAGAACCUUGAGCUGGGUGACAACAAUGGGAAAUUGGAUGCUCUGAUGAUUGAUCAUGAAACAGAUCUUCUUAGAGAACAGAAGACCAAGGGUCUAGCAAAUUCCAGAAGGGAAAGUGAUAAUUCUGAAGUUGAAAGAGCCCAUCACAUUAAACCAGUUCUUGGUAUCCGAGAACACCUGUCAGAAAAAGACAACCAGGGUGAGAAAGGUAUAGUUGGCAAGCAAUCUGUGGAGCAGGUAUCUAGUACUCAGAGGAAAGCUUCAUAUUGUACCAUAUCAACUACCCAGAACCACUUGAACAGUAUUUCAGUUGGGUACAAGCCUAAUAUUGUGAAUCAGGCUGACAUGCUUACACCGGACUGUGGUCAGCGCAUACCAAAGCACCCUGCCCUUCUAGACAAGAGAUCUCUUCUUGCAUGCAUUGCUCGUGCAGUUUCUGCUAGUCACAAUAACCAAACCAAGAUUAGUUCAACUCUGCCAAAUAGGCUUGGAAAAAUGUUGGCCCCUCUUCAUUGGCGUGACUAUCGGAAGGAUUAUGGGAAACUAGAUGAUUUUUUGGCUGAGCAUCAAGAGGUUUAUUUCUCUAAUAAUAGCAAUUUAGUCGCUCUAUGUACAAUGUACGAUACCUGUUACGGAUAUACCUAUCACUACUGCAGCUCUUUGUGA
rnacentral:rRNA from 1 species